UUAACUUGGGAUAUUUUGAUGAUUUCAUCUCUGUCUUCUCUAGUUUACGCAAAAAUAACUUUUGAAACCCUUUUAUUAAUGGAGUAAUUUUAUUUUGGUGGGUUGCAACAGCUGCUGAUAUUAUAUAAUUCAAAUGUGCUCUUCUCCGGCGGUUCUCAAUUGCUUUGUCGUUCUGGAUUGAUCAGAUCUAAUUAAGGAAAACAAUUUUGAAGACAAAUUACCACUGAUUGGCUCAGUAACAAUGGAGGAGUGGUGAUGCGAAUGGUAUCGAGAGUAGAGAAAAUGAUGAUGCAGAGCUUUGUGUAGCCAAUAAUAGAGGAACUCUACAGGACCAAUAUGAAGCAAGGCUGUUAUAACGAUCCCAUCGGUCCUCCACAUAGGCAUGUGAUGAGCUUGUUCCAGAAUCAGAUCCCUUGUGUCUACAAAAAGUGAAAAAUGAAGGUACAUACCAGUUGCUUUCUCUGUCAACUUGAUCAAAUUCGAUGCUUUUAUCAAGAAUUCGAUUAUUCCCCUUUGCAGUCCUGUAGCGGGAUAAAGAUAUCCAUGUCUGGUAGUGAACCAUUCUGAAGAGAGUUAAUGGGAGUAGGAGUAUGAAGAACAUGUCCCUCUCACUUUCAUCUUUGCUCAUGAAGAAUGUGUAUAUGCUGUGACAUGCAAAUGGUGCCAAUACCAAGUACUUCAUCAUCCCAACAAAUCAUUUUUGAAAAAUAAAAAAAUGUUAGCAGAAGUGACGUUGUAAUAUGUACGCGGUACGUUUAUUAUAGAGUUGCAUUAAGCUAACUAGUGAUAUCUUUUUGCCAUAAAUGAUAGUAGAAAAGAGUAUAUGUGGAUUCUGAUAAUUGUUACUGUGUACCAUGAACACUUUUGCCAGAGUAAUCAUAUUGCACCCAUCAUCUUAAGAUUAUGGAUUCUAA